UUAGAGGAAGUAAAAGUCGUAACAAGGUUUCCGUAGGUGAACCUGCGGAAGGAUCAUUAUCGUAUAAUGGGGGGUGCUGGGGUUGUCGCUGACCUUUGAAAGGGUUCGUGCACGCCCCGGCGCUCUCACACAUCCAUCUCACCCCUUUGUGCAUUANCGCGUGGGCCCCCUUUUGGCUUGUUCUGAAGGGGUUGGCUCAUGCUUUUAACAUAGACACCCUUUUAAUGCAUGUGUAGAAUGUCUUAUCUUUUUGCGAUCAUACGCAAUCAAUACAACUUUCAACAACGGAUCUCUUGGCUCUCGCAUCGAUGAAGAACGCAGCGAAAUGCGAUACGUAAUGUGAAUUGCAGAAUUCAGUGAAUCAUCGAAUCUUUGAACGCACCUUGCGCCCUUUGGCAUUCCGAGGGGCACACCCGUUUGAGUGUCGUGACAUUCUCAAAAUCUUCUUGGUUUCUUGACCAGGAAGGCUUUGGAUCUUGGAGGUUUUUGCUGGCCUUUCCCUUGUUGGAUCCAGCUCCUCUGAAAUGAAUUAGUGGGGUCUGCUUUGCUGAUCCUUGACGUGAUAAGAUGGUUACUACGUCUUGGGUUUUGCACUGUUGCUCUGGAUCCUGCUUCUAACUGUCUCAUAGAAGACAAUGUUUGAGUCGUUGGCACUCAACCCACAAACCCUUGACCUCAAAUCGGGUGAGACUACCCGCUGAACUUAAGCAUAUCAAUAAGCGGAGGAA
rnacentral:rRNA from 1 species